GAGAGACACGCGCAUUUAACAGAAACACAGCUGAUUGAUAAGGAGGCAGCAGGUUCCUGAAGCCUAGAGGAGAGAUAAUAAAUGGAGAUUUGGCCUCACAGCAGCCUGCUGAGCCCAAAGCCAAGACAGCUUUCCAGGAGAUAAAGUGGAGACAUGUUGCCAGUCUUCUGUUAUCUGAGCCGGAGACGCAGGCAAGGCAGCCAUGCCCUGGGAGCCCUGCCAGGGCUGUUAUCACAGACACGGUGCACAUCACCCACCAGGAAUUUGGGGCCCGGAUCUGGCUGAGAUGCAGUUGGAGGAAGUUCCAGGCUGAUAAAGUCUGAGUCAGAAUGCUCAGAGUGGGCAGCAAAGUUAUUCACAUCAGUGACACUCUCACCAGCCCCUGGGCAUCAUGGCACCAGGGCUGGCAGAUUAAACCAACUUGAGUCAGCAACAGCACCCAAAAUCUCCCUGCACACCUGGGUGCAGACAGCAUGGGGGCUGCCCUCUCCUUGAAUGGUGGUCCCGGACUCCCCACCAGAACUUCCCCUGCUCUGCCUCUGAGGGCUGAUAUGGCUCCCUCCCUCCAGGAGCGGACUCUGCACUGGGCCUGCUUCCUCCUAGCGCUUGCCUCCCAUUGAGCAUCUGUUGCAGGCACACUGGCUGGACGGAAGGGGCAGCUGUCUCUCCUGGCCUGCAAAGGACCCUAGGAAAUAAGUGGGCCCAGCAAAACUCCAGAAUAUUCCACAGUCUGGGAAAGAUAUUUCAAAAUGAUGGGCAGUGAUUUGCAGACAGAGGUGGGGCACCAGCUGCCAUCCUGCUCCUCAACAAACCCUGGCAGCACCGCCCAGACCCAGGCUUUAGAACGUGGCCAUCCUUGGAAUCAUCUGGGACCUUUUUUGGAAACAUCAACAUCUACACUCGACUCCAGAACCAUUAAACCUGAGUCUCCAGAGGGGUGCAGCUGGGCAUGAAUGGCUUCUGGCGUCCCCAUUGACUAUAAGGUGCUACCAAGUUUGGAAGCACCUUAUUCAAACCUCCCUCUGUCCUCCUCGCGUCCUCCCCAAGGAGUGAAGGGUCUGUGAAAACAAGGGCAUGUGCCCACCUGGACUCAUGAUGCCUCAUUCCAGUUCCUGAAAUUCCCUACAGUGGAAGGAAAAGGGCUCUAAUAAAUCUAGCAAGUUCAGUGUCUGAAAGUAACUCACAGGGUGAUCUGAUCAUAAAUUCCCAAUUGGACAGGUCAUGGGGAGUAGGCCUAUACCUUCUUUAGUAACUGGCUUAUCUUUUCCUUAAGCAAGCCUUGUCCAUUGUUUCUGUGCAUCUAGGUUAACAUUCCUUUGCAAUGCCUCUUUUUCAGACCCCUCAGAAGCAUAACCUCCGUCAAGAUAGCACAUGAACUACCAAGCAAAAUGCAGAUGGACUCGUAGAUAGAGAGCAGGCAGACAACUCUGGAGGGGAAGUGGGUUGGGCGGUGGGCAUGGAGGGAUUGAGCAAAAAGAAAAAAGAAAAAAAAGAGAAUUCAUGGAUGUGGACAACAGUGUGGUGAUUGUGGGGGAGGAGGGUAGAGGUAGAAGAGGGUAUAGGAGGGAUAAAUGGUGAUGGAAAAAUAAAAUAAAGCACAUCAUCUUGUUAACUACUCUGCAACUCAGUCCCCACCUUGCUUUUUCUCACUUCCAUGUAGUCUUCCUUAGUUCCCUCGUAAAUCCCAAAUGCAUAAAAGAAACUACAAACUCUCAUCGUGGGGAGUAUUUGAGAUCCUGCUCUCCAGCAUAUGUUGUCAGUUAUAAAAAUUCUCUACAUGUUUGGACGUCACUUAUGUUUCUUACAUUGACACUGCUCAAACUGCCCUGAGCCCAGGGUCUAUGUGGACCUCUUCCCUGUCCCUCCCCUCAGGAGUAGGCGGCACCACUGUGGACACACCCCAGGCCUGAGGGGUGGCCAAAGGCAGCUGAUGGCUAGUGGUGUGAAUGGAGCUCAGACAUGUGGGCACCCAGUCAGUCCUUGGAAACUAGGUCUGGCCCUUGCUGGUCUGAACACCACUCACCUCUCCAGCCUCUUUAUCCACACACACUUCUGUCCUUAACCCCCAGCAUCCUACUCUUCAACCCAAAAAGAAGCUGAUUAUACACCAGGAACUUCCCCACCUCCCUGCCUUUCCACCCACCAUGGAUGCUGUUCCACUUAGGGCAGAAACUACUUACCUCCCACAAUUCAUGUCAGAAACGUAACUAUAGGAACUGUGCACAGAUCCAGGACUGUCCAGCUGAGACUACAUUUCCAGUCUCCCUGGAAGCCAUUGAACAGGAGCAGAAGUGAUGUAGCCUGCCCCUUCCCACUGGCUAAAGCGAGGACCUGGUUGUGGACCCGGAGCUUGAGUAGCCACCUAGUAGACUCCUGGGUGGAAGGAUUCCCUGAGCCUCAUGAAGCCAUCAUACCUCUCCUGGACCUUCACAUGAAAGAGAAAUAAGCUUUCAAAUAUGCCGAGCCAUUGUCUUUUAGGGCCUCUUUGAUAUAGCAGCUUAAAUUAUACCUAUUAACCUCCAUCCCCCACUUCAGUUAGCUAUCCGCCCACUUCAUUUAGCUAUCUCAAAAGUCCUACUAAGCAGUUGUAGCACACAUCUUGCACCCAUCAGCACAAGAGCUCGGGUUCAGAACCCUCGGGAAGACUGGUGCAGUCUGCACCUGUGGCUUCCACACAUCCGAGUCCCCUGCUGCAGCUACCAGCCUGAGUCUCCU